GCCCGCUAAGCCGAACUGUCACCGUAUGGUGUGCGUGCCCGUAAGGGCUAGGCUUGCGGGUUUUG
rnacentral:ncRNA from 1 species